UAUUGUUUAAAGCCGGGUUUAAACUGUUUUUCGGAUGCUAUCGUCAGGUCAGUUCUAAUAUCCAGGCUGAAGCCCAAACGACGGCCAUUUUUGAUCAGUAGUGCACUAAAUAGUGAACAGAACACAGUUGUGAUCCGUGGGGAAUUGCGGUUAUGAAGGAAUCAGAGAAUUGUGUAGGAUUUGGCCUUGGAUGUGUUCGAGUAGCGCAGCUUUUACGCAGCGCAGAGCAGCGCAGGAUUUACGCAGUGAAUUACACAUAGCAUAUGGGGGUUAAGUGACACCCACAUUUUUACAUACACACUCAAAAACAAGAGUUUUGUAGUAUGGGAUCUUGUUUGUUUGUACCUUCUCUGUAUAUUUUGAACACUUUUGUCAUUCUGUGAAAUUUAGGAUUAGCAUUGAAUGUUUUUCUAAAGUUUGUAUGACUGAAUAUCUGACUGAAUGAAUGGCAGACAGAGUGUCUGACUGGUUCUCUGGCUUUCUAUCACUGUCUGACUGAUUAAUGGACAGGUUUAAUUAGUUGUCUGAUUGAAUGUCUGACUCACACCUUGACUGACUGUGUACAGUGUGCAGACUUAAGAACUAUGAUUGGAGAAAUUCACGUCCUCUAAAAGGUUCAAGAUAUCUCAGAGUCAAAAGUUUAAUCUUCAUAAAGUCCUUAAUUCCAGCUCCCUACAUGAGGCACUAAUAAUACAGACAUAUUUCGAGUGACCAGCCAUUGUAAAACGGUUGCUAUCUGUUUACAAGCUGAUUUCUUUCUAUUCUAGAUGUUGCGUAAUCAUUAGGGGCAGCUUUGCAGUCUGCCCCAUGUAGCUGCAGACACUUAUUAUUGCACCUUGUGGUCAAAAAUGGGAUCUGCAACAAGCAUGUGAAAAGGCCUGGCUGCAAUCUUGAUUGAACAUACUGGCACUAUUCCUGUCUUGUUAGUUAGAAACACCAGCUAACACAAUGUUACGUCACCAGACACACGUGACAUCUUAAAAUGCUCAGCACAAUGUCGAGAACUUCGACACGGGUGUUCUAAUGAUGUCACGUGACAACACACACGUGCACGUCAACCCCCUAUAUGAACUGAAUCGCAAAAUUGCCGCAACGUUCACGUGUGACGUAUGAAAACACUCGAUGUAAUAAGGUGAGCUGGAUUAUGUGCAUUCUCGCAAUGUCACGUACUCGUAUCCUCUUGCCUUCAAAGGUAUUGCCACCCUAUCUGUCCACUCGCCUCCAAAAGUAUUGCCACCCUAUCUGUCCACUCACCACCAAAAGUAUUGCCACCCUAUCUGUCCACUCACCACCAAAAGUAUUGAAUGUGUUUCAGGUGGAGGAAGUAAGGUGUUAACAUUUAUAAAAUUUCCUCGCAGGUGAACGAAGUGAAAAAGAAGCACAGUAUGAUCCUCUCAGCUCCCAACCCUGACGAAACUAUGCAGCAGAACUCGCCUCCAGAAGACCAAGCCAACCAUGCCUCAGUGGACGAGCGCAUCCAGAGAACACAGGAGGGCGUCCUCAUAGUCUCAGUAGCACUUUGGAUCAGUUUGUUUUCUUAAGGUCCAAGACACUGGGCUUCGGUUUAGGUCCUUGCCUUGUUAUUAACACUAGAACCAGGAAGGAAUCAGAAAACAGUGGGGUUUUAGGGUCAGUGGGGUUUUUAUAAAUAAAAUUUUUUUGAGAAUAAAAUUGAAUAGAUUGAGGAAAAAAAGUUCUGAGAAAUUGUCAAAAAUAAUUACAAGAUAAAAGGCAAGAUCUUUUAAUACAGGUAGCUGUAACACAAUGCAGGACUUUAUUUAUUAUUAAUAUUUAUUAUAUCUGAACACUAGGACACUAUUGUUCUAACCUCAAUCUCAACACUGAUGUGAAAGAAAUUUAGUUAAAUUCUGAUGCUGAUGUUGUGAUGAAGGAGUAAAUUAAUAUUGACAUAAAAGCAUUUUUUAUGAAUAAUGCAA